rnacentral:rRNA from 1 species
AGUGAACGCUGGCGGUAGGCCUAACACACGCAAGUCGAACGGCAGCACAGUAAGAGCUUGCUCUUACGGGUGGCGAGUGGCGGACGGGUGAGGAAUACAUCGGAAUCUACUUUUUCGUGGGGGAUAACGUAGGGAAACUUACGCUAAUACCGCAUACGACCUACGGGUGAAAGCAGGGGAUCUUCGGACCUUGCGCGAUUGAAUGAGCCGAUGUCGGAUUAGCUAGUUGGCGGGGUAAAGGCCCACCAAGGCGACGAUCCGUAGCUGGUCUGAGAGGAUGAUCAGCCACACUGGAACUGAGACACGGUCCAGACUCCUACGGGAGGCAGCAGUGGGGAAUAUUGGACAAUGGGGGCAAGCCUGAUCCAGCCAUACCGCGUGGGUGAAGAAGGCCUUCGGGUUGUAAAGCCCUUUUGUUGGGAAAGAAAAGCAGCAGGUUAAUACCCCGCUGUUCUGACGGUACCCAAAGAAUAAGCACCGGCUAACUUCGUG